rnacentral:rRNA from 1 species
UACGGGGGGUGCAAGCGUUACUCGGAAUCACUGGGCGUAAAGAGCAUGUAGGCGGAUUAAUAAGUUUGAAGUGAAAUCCUAUAGCUUAACUAUAGAACUGCUUUGAAAACUGUUAGUCUAGAAUGUGGGAGAGGUAGAUGGAAUUUCUGGUGUAGGGGUAAAAUCCGUAGAGAUCAGAAGGAAUACCGAUUGCGAAGGCGAUCUACUGGAACAUUAUUGACGCUGAGAGACGAAAGCUAGGGUAGCAAAUCAG